GACGAAGGGGGCUAGCGUUGUUCGGAAUUACUGGGCGUAAAGCGCGUGUAGGCGGUUAUCCAAGUCGGGUGUGAAAGCCUUGAGCUCAACUCAAGAAAUGCACUCGGUACUGGGUGACUAGAGGACCGGAGAGGAUAGUGGAAUUCCCAGUGUAGUGGUGAAAUACGUAGAGAUUGGGAAGAACACCAGUGGCGAAGGCGGCUAUCUGGACGGUUUCUGACGCUAAGACGCGAAAGCGUGGGGAGCAAACAGGAUUAGAUACCCUGGUAGUCCACGCCGUAAACGAUGGGUGCUAGACGUUGGCGAGCUUGCUCGUCAGUGUCGCAGCUAACGCGUUAAGCACCCCGCCUGGGGAGUACGGCCGCAAGGUUGAA
rnacentral:rRNA from 1 species